AUUACCGCGGCUGCUGGGUAACUAGCUGUCGCGUAUAGAUGGGUCCACGUCCCACCAGGUAGUUGGCGAGGUAACGGCUCACCAAGCCUAAGACGGGUAGCUGGCCUUAGCGGGUGGUCAGCCACACGGGGACUGAGACACGGCCCCGACUCCUACGGGAGGCAGCAGUGGGGAAUAUUGGGCAAUGGGCGAAAGCCUGACCCAGCGACGCCGCGUGGGGGAUGAAGUCUCUUGGGACGUAAAACCCUUUCGACGGGGAAGAAAACCGCAAGGUUUGACGGUACCUGUAGAAGAAGG
rnacentral:rRNA from 1 species